UACGUAGGUGGCAAGCGUUGUCCGGAAUUAUUGGGCGUAAAGCGCGCGCAGGCGGCCUUUUAAGUCUGAUGUGAAAAGCCCACGGCUCAACCGUGGAAGGUCAUUGGAAACUGAAAAGGCUUGAGUACAGAAGAGGAAAAGCGGAAUUCCACGUGUAGCGGUGAAAAUGCGUAGAGAUGUGGAGGAACACCAGUGGCGAAGGCGGCUUUCUGGUCUGUAACUGACGCUGAGGCGCGAAAAGCGUGGGGGAGCAAACAGG
rnacentral:rRNA from 1 species